UGAGCAGAGGAAGCAUGAGAGCACCUAGGAAAGGAGUCUUUAGCUUUGUCUCAAAUUUCAAUUAUAUUAAUUAUACAGUACCCAUCUCUUUUCCACUCCUGAAUAACAUCUAACAUCUAGAAACUUUAUGAAAAUCAUUAUUGAUUGAGCAUUUUUAACAUUAACUUGUUGCCUUAGACACCAACUCUACAACAUUACCUGUCAUAUACUGAAGAAUCUCUUCUUCCAGUUAUGCAGCACCUGGCUAAGAAUGUAGUCAUGGUAAAUCAAGGACUUACAAAGCACAUGACUGUCAAGAACAAGUAUGCCACAUCGAAGCAUGCUAAGAUCAGCACUCUACCACAGCUGAAUUCUGCACUAGUUCAAGAUUUAGCCAAGGCUGUGGCAAAGGUGUAACUUGUAAACUUGAGUUGGAGUACUAUAUUUACAAAUAAAAUUGGCACCAUGUGCCAUCUGUACAUA
rnacentral:sRNA from 1 species